rnacentral:rRNA from 1 species
GAUGAACGCUAGCGGCAGGCCUAACACAUGCAAGUCGAGGGGCAGCGAGGUGGUAGCAAUACCACUGUCGGCGACCGGCAAAGGGGUGCGUAACGCGUGAGCGACUUACCUGUCACAGGGGGAUAAUCGCCGGAAACGGUGUCUAACACCCCGUAAUAUAUAAGAUGGCAUCAUUGAAUAUUGAAAGUCGAGAGACGGUGAUAGAUAGGCUCGCGAGACAUUAGCUAGUUGGAGAGGCAACGGCUCACCAAGGCUACGAUGUCUAGGGGUUCUGAGAGGAAGAUCCCCCACACUGGGACUGAGACACGGCCCAGACUCCUACGGGAGGCAGCAGUGAGGAAUAUUGGACAAUGGGCGGAAGCCUGAUCCAGCCAUGCCGCGUGAAGGAAGGAGGUCCUAUGGAUCGUAAACUUCUUUUGACGCAGAGCAAUAAAGUGUACGAGUACACUGAUGAGAGUAUGCGUCGAAUAAGCAUCGGCUAACUCCGUGCCAGCAGCCGCGGUAAUACGGAGGAUGCGAGCGUUAUCCGGAUUUAUUGGGUUUAAAGGGUGCGUAGGCUGUGUACCAAGUCAGCGGUGAAAUACCUGUGCUUAACGCAGGCUGUGCCGUUGAAACUGGCAUGCUAGAAUACGGGAGCCGUGGGAGGAAUGUGUGGUGUAGCGGUGAAAUGCAUAGAUAUCACACAGAACACCGAUUGCGAAGGCAUCUCACGAUUCCGUAAUUGACGCUUAGGCACGAAAGCGUGGGUAUCGAACAGGAUUAGAUACCCUGGUAGUCCACGCAGUAAACGAUGAUGACUAACUGUCGGUGUCGAAGGGCAUCGGUGGCCAAGUGAAAGCGAUAAGUCAUCCACCUGGGGAGUACGACCGCAAGGUUGAAACUCAAAGGAAUUGACGGGGGCCCGCACAAGCGGAGGAACAUGUGGUUUAAUUCGAUGAUACGCGAGGAACCUUACCCAGGCUCGAACGGCAGAUGGAUACAUAAGAGAUUGUGUAGUCCUUCGGGACAUUUGUCGAGGUGCUGCAUGGUUGUCGUCAGCUCGUGCCGUGAGGUGUCGGCUUAAGUGCCAUAAUGAGCGCAACCCUUGCCGCCAGUUACCAACACGUAAAGGUGGGGACUCUGACGGGACUGCCACCGCAAGGUGCGAGGAAGGGGGGGAUGACGUCAAAUCAGCACGGCCCUUACGUCUGGGGCGACACACGUGUUACAAUGGCGACUACAGCGGGAAGCCACCCUGAGAGGGGGAGCAGAACCCGAAAGGUCGUCUCAGUUCGGACUGGAGUCUGCAACCCGACUCCACGAAGCUGGAUUCGCUAGUAAUCGCGCAUCAGCCAUGGCGCGGUGAAUACGUUCCCGGGCCU